AACGUAGGACGCAAGCGUUAUCCGGAGUUACUGGGCGUAAAGCGCGCGCAGGCGGUCUUGCCAGUCUGAUGUGAAAUCUCCUCGCUCAACGGGGAGCAGCCAUUGGAAACUACAAGACUGGAGUCUGACAGAGGUAGGCGGAAUUCCGGGUGGAGUGGUGAAAUGCGUAGAGAUCCGGAGGAACACCAGAGGCGAAGGCGGCCUACUGGGUCAGUACUGACGCUGAGCCGCGAAAGCCAGGGGAGCGAACGGG
rnacentral:rRNA from 1 species